AUCAGCAUGCUGCGGUGAAUACGUUCCCGGGCCUUGUACACACCGCCCGUCACACCAUGGGAGUCGGUAACACCCGAAGUCGGUAGCCUAACCGUAAGGAGGGCGCCGCCGAAGGUGGGAUUGAUGACUGGGGUGAAGUCGUAACAAGGUAGC
rnacentral:rRNA from 1 species